AAUCAACGCUGGCGGCGUGCCUCAGACAUGCAAGUCGAACGAUUAAAGCUCUCUUCGGAGAGUGUAUAGAGUGGCGCACGGGUGAGUAACACGUAAGUAAUCUACCUUUGAGUGGGGAAUAACAGUCGGAACGGCUGCUAAUACCGCAUAACGCAGCGGCACCGCAAGGUGACAGUUGUUAAAGGAGCAAUCCGCUUAAAGAGGAGCUUGCGGCAGAUUAGCUUGUUGGUAAGGUAACGGCUUACCAAGGCUACGAUCUGUAUCCGGUCUAAGAGGACGGUCGGACACACUGACACUGAAUAACGGGUCAGACUCCUACGGGAGGCAGCAGUCGGGAA
rnacentral:rRNA from 1 species